GUAUCCAUGGUGUGGGCAUUGUAGUAAAAGUGAUUUGAAGCGAUCCCAUGCUUCAUGAGAGGAUUCAGUAUCCUUUUAAUAAAAGUUAGAAAUUUCAGCCUUUAAUUC
rnacentral:snoRNA from 1 species